AAAUUCAUUGAAUAAUUCUUUUGAACUUAAUUUUAUAUAUGUUACAAAUUAAAAAUACUUUAGUGUUUAUCUUCCAGUAUUGCUUUUUCCAGUCAACUGUGGCUCCACAAGACUAAUACUAAAAUGUUGUUUUGGUAAAUCUGUAUAUGCAAGCUGCAAAAAUUCUCUAGAUUACAAGGUAUUUGACCUUGGUUGCCAAUCGAGUAUUUGAUACGGCUUUUGAAUAAUUGAGUGACCUAUUUUAAGUGAUUUUAUUUCAGAAAUUAGCUGCAAGGUUGAAUGAAGAUGGAGUGUUGCCGGAAUUCGGGUCAGUUGCCCCUGAGCAUCCUAGUCCCGUCUCUAUUAUGGAUGACACAAUGUAUAGGGAUGAUGCCCUGUCUCCUGUGAAACAAAUGCCAGAUGUCCUCAAAGCACAAAUAUGGUCAAUUACUCUAGGUAGCAGUGGGAAAAGGCAGAGUUAUCCAUCAACCAUCUCAACUAGACCAGUAUUGCAGAGAUAGAAUCUACUGUAAAGGAAAAAAUUUGUGCAAACCAUGGUGCAUAUGAAGAAUUUGUCUCUAGAUCCUCAUCCAUUAAUGCAGAAUACGAAGCUAAAGCCUGUGACACACAGGCA